CACGGGCAAGAGUUCAUUAGGUGACACAUGGCCUCCAGAUGCCCCAGGAAUGAGCCUCAGGUUAUGAAAGGCAACUCGUCAGCUUCAGUGUGUGGCUGUGUCCUGGGAGACUUCGAAGCCAUCUUGUCCAGAGCUGGUCAGGUUAGCACCCUGCUGAUGCUCCCAGAUUGGAAUGAUCCCGUGCAUACUCUACAGGCUCCCUCCAGCUGCACCUGCCUGUUUUUCUGGACUCCCCAACAGUAUCACAAAGACACUCCACCAG
rnacentral:lncRNA from 1 species